rnacentral:rRNA from 1 species
UUCCGGUUGAUCCUGCCGGACCCUACUGCUAUCGGGAUGGGACUAAGACAUGCUAGUCGAGCGCCUCCUAGCCACGCUGGAGGCGCGGCACACAGCUCAGUAACACGUGGCUAACCUGCCCUUGGGACGGAAACAUCCCCGGGAAACUGGGGCCAAUUUCCGAUAGGCGAAGGUCUCUGGAACGAGUCUUCACCCAAAAGACGUUUGGGGCAUGCUCCUAGACGUUGCCCAAGGAUGGGGCCGCGGCCGAUCAGGUUGUUGGUGAGGUAACGGCUCACCAAGCCUAUUACCGGUACGGGCCGUGGGAGCGGUAGCCCGGAGAUGGGCACUGAGACAAGGGCCCAGGCCCUACGGGGCGCAGCAGUCGCGAAAACUUCGCAAUAAGCGAAAGCUUGACGAGGCCAUCCCGAGUGCCAUCUGCUGAGGAUGGCUUUUACCUAGUAUAGAUAGCUAGGGGAAUAAGGAGAGGGCAAGUCUGGUGUCAGCCGCCGCGGUAAUACCAGCUCUCCGAGUUGUGGGGACAUUUAUUGGGCCUAAAGCAUCCGUAGCCGGCUGAACAAGUCCCCUGUUAAAUCCAGCGACGAAUCGUUGGCCUGCGGGGGAUACUGUUCGGCUAGGGGGCGGGAGAGGCCGUCGGUAUUCUUGGGGUAGGGGUGAAAUCCUAUAAUCCCAGGAGGACCACCAGUGGCGAAGGCUGUCGGCUAGAACGCGCCCGACGGUGAGGGAUGAAAGCUGGGGGAGCGAACCGGAUUAGAUACCCGGGUAGUCCCAGCUGUAAACGAUGCAGGCUAGGUGUUAGGGCGGCUACGUGCCGCUCUAGUGCCGCAGGGAAGCUGUUAAGCCUGCCGCCUGGGGAGUACGGCCGCAAGGCUGAAACUUAAAGGAAUUGGCGGG